rnacentral:lncRNA from 1 species
CAGCAGUAUAAGCAACUAUAAUCUGAUUCUUACCAUACCAUUCACUCUUUCAUCAUUUUUGUUGGUCCUUGGGAUGUCUGGAGACUCAUUUAGUUUGAAUCUCUUUUCGUUUUUCUUGCAAUUAGUGAAUCGCUUUGCUCCAUUAACAGCAGAUUCUCUUUCAAAAUCAGAGCACAACAACAAACAGGCGCAUUCCAGUACCGGGAAGGUGCUAUUCAGUGGUACAGGACUCCAAGGGGCGGCUCAGUAAAGCAGAGGUCAGUGUCAUCUCUUGUUCCAUUGGUGCGCCAUUUGACCCUGCGAAGCGAUAAUUUCCUCAAUUGCACCCUAGUCUGAGUGUUAAUUCAGCUUCCAGAGAUUUCUGAUUUAAUGUCAAGAAGUAGAUUUUACCCUAUGAAACCUAGGUCUACAAAUUUUAUUUCCUUUAAAUGUCUAGAUUAAGAAAUCACAGCUUUCAAAGUGCAACUGCAAAUUAAUAGACGGAGGAGUCGUCAACCAUGAAUCGGCUGACCAAACUGCAUAUGUGUGAAGUUUUUUUCAGAUGCUAAGAAUCCUUUGACUCAGUUUCUGGGAAACUAGAAGCAAGGUUUGGUGAUCAAUUUCAGUAUUAACUAUCUCAGGAGGCUAGUUAUAUCUGCUUCUUUAUUCAUUUUAAUUUCAUUGGUCUUCUUUCAUUUUUAUUGCCUUGUUUCAUAACGUGGUUGGUUUUGUAAGCUGUAGCUGGUAGUUGCAAAUUUCUCCUCUCCACACUUAGAAGUGCAGAAAAAAUGCAUUUCUUUUGUGACUUUACUGACUAAUAAUAUCCCAUAUGAGGCUCACAUUUUGCAUGAGAUAAAGGGAAUUUAUUCAGUCCAAUGUGGAAAGUUUAAUAGUCCCUUUAAGUAGAAGUAGAUUCUGAGGUCCUCAUUUUUUCUGAUUUUCACAGCUCCUCUAUUUUUCUCCUUUCCCAGAAGCUACUGGGUGUGUAAGUGAGUGUGGCUUACAUGGCCUCAAGUGGAGGUACUGCUUGUGAAGUCAUGGGGUCGGGUUCUACAUGCUCUUUCUGUAGGAGGAGAGCAGCUGUCGAGGGGCUGAGAGGGCUGCUCUUUGGGCUGGUGAGUGUGCUGAUGGGUGACAGGUCCCAUCUGUUGGAAGAGAAUGCCCUUC